rnacentral:lncRNA from 1 species
AACAUUCUUCCUAAGUUUUCAAGUUCUUUUGAAUAAUGGCACGCAACAAAGUAGACAGAGUUCUAUUUACAACCUCAGUUUGUCCAUCAAUUUGUGGAUGACAAGUAGUAGAAAACAAAAGUUUAGUACCCAACUUAGUCCACAAAGUUUUCCAAAAGUGGCUCAAGAACUUAGCAUCUCGAUCUGAAACUAUGCUCCUUGGUACUCCAUGCAAUCUGACUAUUUCCUUGAAAAAUAAAUUAGCUAUGUUGGUUGCAUCAUCAGUUUUGUGACAUGGAAUGAAAUGUGCCAUCUUUGAAAACCUAUCAACAACAACAAAAACAGAAUCAUUUCCCCUUUUUGACCUAGGUAAACCCAAAACAAAGUCCAUAGAAAUAUCAACCCAAGGUUCACUAGGUAUGAGCAGAGGGUUAUCUGCUGUACCGUACAUCCGCCUUGGCCGUACAGCAGAAUCCCACAAUGAAACUUUCAAUCCUACAAUUAAUUUGUAGUUUCAACUUCCCAAGAAAGUUCUAAACAGAUUUAUGGCAAACAAAAACCUUGACCCAAUGCUUAAGAAAACAUGAACCAAAGGUAUAGAGAAGGGUAUUGACGCCACACUCAAGAAAAAGAUGAGAAGGUGAGUGAUAAGUCUAAAUUUGGAACACCACAAGAAUGUAAAUUCUUGAUAAGUUCACUAGUUCUCAAAAGAACCAAAGAAAGAAUAAUCUUUCAAAUUCAAAAUAACAUUAAUCUCCUUACAUACCAAGGUUGCUGAAUUUAAAUAGGCUAAAAGGAACCCAAGAUCCUAAAAAUACAAAUGGAAACAUUGGAACAACCCUCCAAGUAAGUUUGUCAAAAGAUGUUUCAAAAGUCUUCACCAACCCACCAUGAUCAAUGCUAUCUUUGACAAACUUAAUGCUAGCCUACUAUAAUUAAUGCUAUCAUUGACAAACUUAAUGUUAGCCCACCAUCAUUGAUGGUAGACUUACCUUACACAUUGACAAGCUUGAAACAAAACAAACAAAUAAGUUGAAAAACAAAGGAUUCGUUGAAAAUCCCAAGUCUGAACAAGCUGUAAAGAAUUGGUCAUAACUCCUUCUAGAGAACUCCAAAUCCAGCUCUGUAAAAUGUAUUGGAAAGCUAACUUAAUUAUCUUUCCAAAGGUAUAUACCAGGCUGAAAAACCACUUGUUUACGUCCUUUGUUGGCUUGAGUAGCAUAUUGUUUAGUUCUCUUUUCUAUGUGUUGACGUGUUCUCUCAUGCAAUUGCUUGACAAAUUCAGCUUUCUUUUUACCAUCCAUACUAGCACGUUCAUCAAUAGGUAAAGGUAAUAAAUCCAAAGGAGUUAAUGGAUUAAAACCAUAUACAAUCUCAAAUGGUGAGAAUUUAGUAGCUGAAUGGACAGUUCUAUUGUAAGCAAAUUCAACAUGUGGCAAACAUUCUUCCCAAGUUUUCAAGUUCUUUUGAAUAAUGGCACGCAACAAAGUAGACAGAGUUCUAUUUACAACCUCAGUUUGUCCAUCAGUUUGUGGAUGAAAGUUGUAGGAAACAAAAGUUUAGUACCCAACUUACCCCACAAAGUUUUCCAAAAGUGGCUCAAGAACUUAGCAUCUCGAUCUGAAACUAUGCUCCUUGGUACUCCAUGCAACCUGACUAUUUCCUUGAAAAACAAAUUAGCUAUGCUUGUCUCAUCAUCAGUUUUAUAACAUGGAAUGAAAUGUGCCAUCUUUGAAAACCUAUCAACAACAACAAAAACAGAGUCAUUUCCCCUUUUUGACUUAGGUAAACCCAAAACAAAGUCCAUAGAAAUAUCAACCCAAGGUUCACUAGGUAUGGGCAGAGGGUUAUACAAUCCAUGGGGUAAAACUCUUGACUUAGCAUGUUUACAAGUGAUACACUUCUCACAUAUUCUUUCAACAUCACGUUUCAUAUGUGGCCAAAAGAAGUGUUCUUUUAAAACAUCUAAAGUCUUUGCAAUGCCAAAAUGUCCCAUUAAACCACCCCCAUGAGCUUCACGCACAAGCAAUUCACGCAAAGAACUAUGAGGCACACACAAUUUAUUUUCUCUAAAUAAAAGCCCAUCAUGCUUAUAGAAUUUACCAAAUGCAACUUUCUCACAAGCAUUAAACACAUUAGCAAAAUCAGGAUCGUUAGCAUAUAAUUCUUUAAUGUACUCAAAUCCUAACAACUUUGCAUUUAAUGUAGAGAUAAGUGCAUACCUUCUAGAUAAUGCAUCAGCCACCACAUUCUCCUUACCUUGUUUAUAUUUGAUCACAUAAGGAAAUGGCUCAAUAAAUUCAACCCAUUUGGCAUGUCUCUUAUGUAACUUACCUUGCCCUUUCAAAUGCUUCAAGGACUCAUGAUCAGUGUGUAUAACAAACUCUUUAGGUAGAAGAUAAUGUUGCCAAGUUUCCAAUGUUCUCACCAAUGCAUACAUCUCCUUGUCAUAGGUAGGAUAGUUUAGGGCUGCUCCACUCAAUUUCUCACUAAAGUAAGCAAUUGGAUGCCCUUAUUGCAUCAAAACAGCUCCAAUACCUAUACCUGAAGCAUCACACUCAAUUUCAAAAGUUUUAGUAAAAUCAGGUAAAGCAAGUAACGGUGCAGAAACCAAUUUUUCCUUAAUUAGACUAAAUGCCCUUUCUUGUUCACUACCCA